CUCCAGAGAGUCAGAAACAUACGACAAAAAAUUAGGUGACAGGUCAAGAAGAACAACGGAAAGAACGGAAAUAACGGAAAGAACCUCCAGAGAGACAGAAAGAUACGGCAAAAAAUUAGGUGACAGGUCAAGAAGAACAACCGAAAUAACAGAAAAAACCAAAAUAACGGAAAUAAUAACGGAAAUAACAGAAAUAAUAACGGAAAUAGCGGAAAAAAUAACGGGAAUACUAAGAGAAAAAAAUAACGGAAAUAGUAACGGAAAUAACGGAUAUAACAGAAAUAACGGAAAUAACCUCCACAGAGACAGAAACAUACUGCAGAAAAUUAGGUGACAGGUGAAGAACAACAACGGAAAGAAUAGAAAUAACGGAAAGAACCUCCGAAACACAUAAACAUACAGCAGAAAAUUAGGUGAUAGGUCAAGAACAACAAUGGAAAGAACGGAAAUAACUACGGAAAUAACAACCGAAAGACAGAAACAUAGGGCAGAAAAUUAGGUGACAGGUAAGGAACAUCAACGGAAAUAACGGAAAUAAACACCGAAAGACGGAAUCAUACGGCAGAAAAUUAAGUGACAGGUCAAGAACAUCAACGGAAAGAACGGAAAUUACGGAAAGAACAGAAAUAACCUCCGAAAGACAGAAACAUACGGCAGAAAAUUAGGUGACAGGUCAAGAACAACAACGGAAAGAACGGAAAUAACGGAAAGAACCACCAGAGAGACAGAAACAUAGGGCAGAAAAUUAGGUGACAGGUCAAGAACAACAACGGAAAUUACGGAAAUAUCGGAAAUAAUGGAAAUAACAGAAAUAACGGAAAGAUCGGAAAGAACGGAAGGAACAGAAAGAACAGGAAGAACGGAAAAUACGGAAAUAAUAACGGUAAUAACGGAAAUAACCUCCACAGGGCCAGAAACAUGCAGCAGGAAAUUAAAUGACAGGUCUAGAACAACAACGGAAAUAACGGAAAUAACAACCGAAAUAACCUCCGAAAUACAGAAACAUACAGCAGAAAAUUAGGUGACAGGUGAAGAACAACAACGGAAAGAACAGAAAUAACGGAAAGGACCUCCAGAGAGUCAGAAACAUACGACAAAAAAUUAGGUGACAGGUCAAGAAGAACAACGGAAAGAACGGAAAUAACGGAAAGAACCUCCAGAGAG
rnacentral:lncRNA from 1 species